GACGAACGCUGGCGGCGUGCUUAACACAUGCAAGUCGAACGGGCCCGCUCUCUUUUUUGGGGGUGGGUUGAGUGGCGAACGGGUGAGUAUCACGUGAGUAACCUGCCCCCUGCUCCUGGAUAACUGCUUGAAAGGGCGGCUAAUACGGGGUGUGCCGGCUGGUCCGCAUGGGCCUGGUCGGGAUAGUUUCAUCUUCGGGUGUUUCGGUGGGGGAUGGGCUCGCGGCCUAUCAGCUUGUUGGUGGGGGGAUGGCCCACCAAGGCGGUGGCGGGUAGCCGGCCUGAGGGGGUGGGCGGCCACACGGGGACUGAGACACGGCCCAGACGCGUGCGGGAGGCAGCAGUGGGGGGUAUUGCACGAUGGACGGAAGCCUGAUGCAGCGACGUCGCGUGGGGGAUGGAGGCCUUCGGGUUGUGAACCUCUUUCUCCGGUGGUGAAGGCCCUGUCCGUUGCGGCGGGGUUGACGGUAGCCGGGUAUGAAGCGCCGGCUAACUACGUG
rnacentral:rRNA from 1 species